rnacentral:rRNA from 1 species
GACGAACGCUGGCGGCGUGCUUAACACAUGCAAGUCGAACGGAAAGGCCCUGCUUUUGUGGGGUGCUCGAGUGGCGAACGGGUGAGUAACACGUGAGUAACCUGCCCUUGACUUUGGGAUAACUUCCGGAAACUGGGGCUAAUACCGGAUAGGAGCUCCUGCUGCAUGGUGGGGGUUGGAAAGUUUCGGCGGUUGGGGAUGGACUCGCGGCUUAUCAGCUUGUUGGUGGGGUAGUGGCUUACCAAGGCUUUGCCGGGUAGCCGGCCUGAGAGGGUGACCGGCCCCAUUGGGACUGAGAUACGGCCCAGACUCCUACGGGAGGCAGCAGUGGGGAAUAUUGCACAAUGGGCGGAAGCCUGAUGCAGCAACGCCGCGUGCGGGAUGACGGCCUUCGGGUUGUAAACCGCUUUCGCCUGUGACGAAGCGUGAGUGACGGUAAUGGGUAAAGAAGCACCGGCUAACUACGUG